rnacentral:tRNA from 1 species
UCCUUAAUAGCUCAGUUCGGUAGAGCGAUCGGCUGUUAACUGAUUGGUCGUAGGUUCGAAUCCUACUUGGGGAG